UUGAAGUGUGUUUUGAGUUAUGAGGUUUGGGGGGUAGAAUCUUGAACUUGUUGUAUAUUGCUUAAAAGGUUAUUCUCUUGAAGUGCUUAGUUAGGAAAAGGAUUAGAGACCCUUGUACUGAGAUAAGGUGAUUUUAGGGCUUUAGUAUAAACUAAAAGGAUUUGGCAGCCGAUGAGAUUCGUCCGGGGGAGUGUGUUCUUUAAGAGAUAGUCCACUUAAGAGUUGACCACCCCUAUUUUGUUAGUGUAUAUCCGGUUAAAGAUUCGUGAUUUCUGUCAUUGGGUGGAUUUAGGAGUUUAGUGAAGCCAGGUCGAUGUGCUGCUAGUGGGGUGGUAGUAAAUGCACUACAUUUAUAAUAUUUUGCUUGGAAAUUAGUAGAUAAUUAAGGACUCGGAAGUAGGCGAUGACUAAAGUUAGGUUUGUCGAAGUU
rnacentral:rRNA from 1 species